UAUCGGACUUUUGAUGAUGAGGUAUCACUCCGCCAGAAAAGUAGAGACCUGUUUAUGUGUUUCGUCUUUCCAAAACAGACGCUAGCUGGUGGUUGUGUGAGCACGCUGCAGAUAGUCCUGGAUAACUAACCCACUCCCACUCCUUAAUGCACGCAGGAUUGUCACAAGAAUGAGGCACAAACUGUAGUUCCUGAGUGUAAGUGUGAUGGUUGUAGCAUCAUUUCUGUUCCGACACCGUGAGUCAGAUUGUUAUAAAGAGGGAAGAAAGCCUCGCCGUUGCCAAUUUGCUGUCACGCACGCUGCACAAAUGUCUUUUGUUGGCACAAUAAAGCAACUUUUAGCAA